UUCCACCCAGUGAAAAGUCGCCGACUGUGGCGGCCUGCCUGAAGAGUCAUCUUCAGGCUAGCUGGGUGGUUUUAC
rnacentral:sRNA from 12 species